GACGAACGCUGGCGGCGUGCCUAAUACAUGCAAGUCGAACGCAGUGGGGACGGGUGAGUAACACGUGGGUAACCUCCCAUCAGAGGGGAUAACCCUUGGCAACAGGUGCUCAACCGAUACUGCUGGAUGGACCCGGGGUGCAUUCGCUAGUUGGUGAGGUAACGGCGAACCAAGGCCACGAUGCAUAGCCGAUCUGAGAGGGUGAUCGGCCACACUGGGACUGAGAAACGGCCCAGACUCCUACGGGAGGCAGCAGUAGGGAAUAGUCGGCAAUGGACGAAAGGCUGACGGAGCAACGCCGCGUGAGUGAAGAAGGUGUUCGGAUCGUAAAACUCUGUUGUUAGAGAAGCGGUAUCAAACCAGAAAGCCACGGCUAACUACGUGCCAGCCGCCGCGGUAAUUC
rnacentral:rRNA from 1 species